rnacentral:rRNA from 1 species
GUAGGCCUAACACAUGCAAGUCGAACGAGUGGCGGACGGGUGAGGAAUACAUCGGAAUCUACUUUUUCGUGGGGGAUAACGUAGGGAAACUUACGCUAAUACCGCAUACGAAUGAAUGAGCCGAUGCCCGAUUAGCUAGUUGGCGGGGUAAGAGCCCACCAAGGCGACGAUCGGUAGCUGGUCUGAGAGGAUGAUCAGCCACACUGGAACUGAGACACGGUCCAGACUCCUACGGGAGGCAGCAGUGGGGAAUAUUGGACAAUGGGCGCAAGCCUGAUCCAGCCAUACCGCGUGGGUGAAGAAGGCCUUCGGGUUGUAAAGCCCUUUUGUUGGGAAAGCGGUACCCAAAGAAUAAGCACCGGCUAACUUCGUGCCAGCAGCCGCGGUAAUACGAAGGGUGCAAGCGUUACUCGGAAUUACUGGGCGUAAAGCGUGCGUAGGUGGUUGUUUAAGUCUGUCGUGAAAGCCCUGGGCUCAACCUGGGAAUUGCGAUGGAAACUGGGCGACUAGAGUGUGGCAGAGGAUAGUGGAAUUCCUGGUGUAGCAGUGAAAUGCGUAGAGAUC